GCAGCAGCUGACCCUACACAUAUUUAUCCAAGUGACUGGAGCUGUGCCAGUCUCUCUGGUGUAGCCUCAAAACAAGGGAGGUGAAGGUCACACAGUGAAGGAAGCCCAUGAAUACAGCCCUGUCUGUGACACUGAGGCUCCUGAGAGCAGAGGUCGAGCCCCAGGUGCCCCCAGGGCAAGGCUGGCAAAGGGCUGAGCUUUGAGCCCUGCUGUGCUGAUGUUCCUGAGGGUCAGCGGGGGAUCUGCUCCAGGAAAAGCAGAGCCCUCAUCUCCUCCUUGAGCAGAAACUGCCAAAGCAGAAAGAAUCAAGCACGAGCUGAGAGGGAAGUGGCUGAUGAAUCACUGCAGGUCCAGCUCUGAAAGAUGCCCAAGUGCUGCUUGACCCAGCAUUCUCCUUGGGCCUGCAGGGGAGUGACUCUCCAGCAGUGGUGAG
rnacentral:lncRNA from 1 species